UACGUAGGGGGCUAGCGUUGUCCGGAAUUAUUGGGCGUAAAGAGCGCGUAGGCGGUUCGGUAAGUCCGAUGUGAAAGUCCAGGGCUCAACCCUGGAAUGCCAGUGGAAACUGCCGAGCUAGAGUCCGGAAGAGGCGAGUGGAAUUCCUGGUGUAGCGGUGAAAUGCGCAGAUAUCAGGAGGAACACCAAUGGCGAAGGCAGCUCGCUGGGCCGGUACUGACGCUGAGACGCGAAAGCGUGGGGAGCAAACAGG
rnacentral:rRNA from 1 species